rnacentral:miRNA from 1 species
AGCACUGAAAAGAAACU